rnacentral:rRNA from 1 species
AAAGAGUUAAAUAAUUAUAAGAGUUAAUGUAGUAAAAUUAUUUUAAAUAAUUAUUUUGAAAUGAAAUGUUAAUCGUUUUUAAAUAUAUCUAGUUUUUUUAGAAAAAAAUUUAAUUUUAAUUUAUUUUUUUUUAUAUUUAAUUAAUUGAUUAAUUUUAUUUAAAAAUAAAUUUAUAUUUUAAGGGAUAAGCUUUAAAUUAAAUUUUUAUAGAAAAUAAUUUAAAAUUAUUUGAAAAUUUUAUAAUUUAUAUUGUUAAAAAAUUUUAUUUUAUUAUAAAUAAUUUCAUUUUAAUUAAAAUUUAAAAUUUAUUUUCUUAAUUUUUUAUAAAAAAAAAAUUUUUACUGGAUGAAAAUUAAAUAUAAUGAUAAAAUUAGUAUAUUUAAAUUUAAUUAAUUUAAUAAUUAAAAUAAAUAAUAAAUUAAUUAAAAGGAAUUCGGCAAAUAUUUAUUUUCACUUGUUUAUCAAAAACAUGUCUUUUUGAUAUUUAUUUAAAGUCUAAUCUGCCCACUGAUUUUAAUUAAAGGGCUGCAGUAUUUUGACUGUACAAAGGUAGCAUAAUCAUUAGUCUCUUAAUUGGUGACUUGUAUGAAAGAUUGGAUGAAAAAUAUACUGUCUCUUUAUUAAUUUGUAGAAUUUAAUUUUUUAUUUAAAAAGUUAAAAUAAUUUAAAAAGACGAGAAGACCCUAUAGAGUUUUAUAAAUUAUAAUUUAUAAUAAAUUAUUUAUAUUAGUAUAAUUUUUAUAAAUUAAUUUAUUUUAUUGGGGUGAUAAAAAAAUAAAUCAAACUUUUUUUAAAAAUUUAACAAAAAUAAUUGAUUAAUUGAUCCAAUUUUAUUGAUUAUAAGAUUAAAUUACCUUAGGGAUAACAGCGUAAUUUUUUUUUUUAGUUCAAAUAAGAAAAAAAGUUUGCGACCUCGAUGUUGGAUUAAGAUAAAAUUUAAAUGCAAAAGUUUAAAAUUUUUG